UACCUUGUCACUGGGGAGCCAGCCAGGCCAACAGGAUGCCACUCCUGAAAGCAGUCAUCUUCUCCUGCCUCUGGGCCUUUGGCCUUGGGCAGGUGAAAUUGGAGCAACCUGAAAUAUCAAUUUCCAGAGCAAGAGAUAAGAGUGCCCAUAUAUCAUGCAAGGUGUUCACUCAGGACUUUAAAAAUAAAGUAAUACAUUGGUACCGGCAGAAACCAGAUCAGGAGAUAGAACAUCUAACAUAUACCCACGAAAGCUCUGUUCAAGUUUCUUUAGGUGGGAAGAAAAACAAACUUGAAGCAAGUAAAAAUGCUCAUACUUCCACUUCAACCUUGAAUGUAAAUUUCUUAGAGCAAGAAGACGAGGCCAUGUACUACUGUGCCUGCUGGAGUAGACUAGGGCUUUGUAACAGUCUGGAUCCUGAUGUUUGCACAAGGAACUAAGCUCAUAGUAACUCCCCCAGAUAGAAGCCUUGAUGCAGACAUUUCUCCCAAGCCCACAAUUUUCCUUCCUUCAAUUGCUGAAAGAAGACUUCAUAAGGCUGGAACAUAUCUUUGUCUCCUUGAGGACUUUUUCCCUGAUGUUAUUAAGAUAGAUUGGAAAGAAAGGGAUGACGAAACAAUUCUGAAAUCACAGCAGGGAGACACCAUGAAGACUAAUAACACAUACAUGAAAUUCAGCUGGCUGACCGUGACUGGAGCAUCAGUGGAUAAAGAACACAAAUGUAUUGUCAAACACGAGCGGAAUAAAGGAGGAGUUGAUCAAGAGAUUCUAUUUCCUUCACAGAAAAAAGAGCUCACUGCUCUGGAUUCUACAGAAAUUGAAGAAGCCACCCUGCAGCUACAGCUCAAGACCACUUCUGCCUACUACACCUACCUCCUCCUCUUCUUCAAGAGCCUGAUCUACUCCACCAUCAUCACCUUCUAUCUGUUUGGGAGACCAGCACUCUAUGGCAAUGGGAAGAGUUCCUAACACAUGGUGGCACCAAGGGUCCACUUGUCUCCAUUGGCUAUUGUUCCUAAAAACGUCUGCUGAGAAUCUAGUUGGGGCUUGCUUUCUUGGUUUGGGUUAUUUCAGUUCAAAUGUGUCUUCUUCCCUUGUGUCAUUAUUGCAGAACAGGUUUCCAAACCACUGUUUCCAAACAGAAACUUUCACUCUGCCAAAAGAACAAAUUCUGCCAUGACCCAGGGGUGGGGCUAGGGGGCCAUCCAUAGGGGCUUCAGCACCUCUCUCCUUAAUGUCCGCCAGCUCCUCAGGCACCUAGUCCCCAUGCCUCUGAGUAUAGCCCACAUGCAACUUCUAGUCAUGUCCCCUGGGGCUCCUUCCCCAGAUAACUACCUGGAAGCCUUUUAUUCUGCACAUCCAGAAGCUGCAAUCUUUGCUGCCUGAAUUUUGUACUGUUUUACAAAAUAGGCAUAAUAAAAACAAUUAAAUGUC